rnacentral:rRNA from 1 species
UCACUUACAGAUGGACCCGCGGCGCAUUAGCUAGUUGGUGGGGUAAUGGCUCACCAAGGCGACGAUGCGUAGCCGACCUGAGAGGGUGAUCGGCCACACUGGGACUGAGACACGGCCCAGACUCCUACGGGAGGCAGCAGUAGGGAAUCUUCCGCAAUGGACGAAAGUCUGACGGAGCAACGCCGCGUGAGUGAUGAAGGUUUUCGGAUCGUAAAGCUCUGUUGUUAGGGAAGAACAAGUGCGAGAGUAACUGCUCGCACCUUGACGGUACCUAACCAGAAAGCCACGGCUAACUACGUGCCAGCAGCCGCGGUAAUACGUAGGUGGCAAGCGUUGUCCGGAAUUAUUGGGCGUAAAGGGCUCGCAGGCGGUUUCUUAAGUCUGAUGUGAAAGCCCCCGGCUCAACCGGGGAGGGUCAUUGGAAACUGGGAAACUUGAGUGCAGAAGAGGAGAGUGGAAUUCCACGUGUAGCGGUGAAAUGCGUAGAGAUGUGGAGGAACACCAGUGGCGAAGGCGACUCUCUGGUCUGUAACUGACGCUGAGGAGCGAAAGCGUGGGGAGCGAACAGGAUUAGAUACCCUGGUAGUCCACGCCGUAUACGAUGAGUGCUAAGUGUUAGGGGGUUUCCGCCCCUUAGUGCUGCAGCUAACGCAUUAAGCACUCCGCCUGGGGAGUACGGUCGCAAGACUGAAACUCAAAGGAAUUGACGGGGGCCCGCACAAGCGGUGGAGCAUGUGGUUUAUUCGAAGCAACGCGAAGAACCUUACCAGGUCUUGACAUCCUCUGACAACCCUAGAGAUAGGGCUUUCCCUUCGGGGACAGAAUGACAGGUGGUGCAUGGUUGUCGUCAGCUCCUGUCCUAAAAUGUGGGUUAAGUCCCGCAACCACCCCACCCUUGAUCUUAGU